rnacentral:rRNA from 1 species
CCUACGGGCGGCAGCAGUGAGGAAUAUUGGUCAAUGGUCGGGAGACUGAACCAGCCAAGCCGCGUGAGGGAUGAAGGUACAGAGUAUCGUAAACCUCUUUUGUCAGGGAACAAAGGCGGGGACGCGUCCCCGGAUGAGUGUACCUGAAGAAAAAGCAUCGGCUAACUCCGUGCCAGCAGCCGCGGUAAUACGGAGGAUGCGAGCGUUAUCCGGAUUUAUUGGGUUUAAAGGGUGCGCAGGCGGGUGGUUAAGUCAGCGGGCAAAGCCCGGGGCUCAACCCCGGCCCGCCGUUGAAACUGGCAGUCUCGAGUAGGAUAGAAGUAGGCGGAAUGCGCGGUGUAGCGGUGAAAUGCAUAGAUAUCGCGCAGAACUCCGAUUGCGAAGGCAGCAUGCCGGCUCCACACUGACGCUGAGGCACGAAAGCGUGGGUAUCGAACAGGAUUAGAUACCCUGGUAGUC